AAAUAGUGUAAAAAAACAUGAAAUUUUAUUCGUAAGUGUGCUGGGACUUUGAAGUUAUUUUGUGGCAGGGAGUUGUACCUACUGUUUAUUGGAAUGUCUUUUCUUGGUUGUAGGAUGAGCACCUGGCUGCCUUGUUCCAGAAGCUGGAGGAACCUGUUUGUUCUGUUAAGCAGGAGGAUGUGACACUGCAAUAUUUAGAGGAAUUGCUACUAUAUUAACGGUGCCGGGCACAUUUAUACAUCUGGGUGAGAUUGCAAAUUUGGUUUGGAUAUUACAAAUGCUGUGAGCUGCAUAGUUCUCCUAAGCAAGGAGAUGGUCUUCAUCCUCCUUACCACUUCCACCCUUGCCUACCCCAGGGACUUUCUGACAAGGUAAACAGAAUGGUUUACAUUUAUUAAAACAUGAUACUGUGAGUUUAUAGUGACGCGUUUUUGUCUGAACACUGCUGAAAAAUAAAAAAUCAAUUUUACUAGUUUUUGUACUAAGUAUGGCCAUUCGUGCAGGUGUUUGGAACCUAAAUAUUUGCACCUGAAAAUAAUAGAAACCAUAUUUCCUUAAUAACAUUUAUGGAAAAUAUAUUUUAACAUAAUGAUUAAAUCUUAUUUUAAUGCAGACCUAAUAUCAGAUUCAUCAGUGAGUAAGAAUCCCAAUUCUACGCAAAGAAAUUGAAUUGAUUCUGUUUUUUUCUAGAGAUGAAAUUGCUUCUUGUGGCUAUGAAGGUAGGUAUGGAGAAGCUAAGUGAGUUCUAUUUCUUAAUGGAUAGUUGAUUUUUUUUAUAUUUUUAGAAAGAUUAAGCCUAGCAAGUCAGUUCUACAAUUUCCACUUAUGAAAUAUAUAUUACAAAGGAAAUAUUUUAGUCUGAGUCCUUCAUCUAUACUACCAUGUAAAGAAUUUUAAAUAACAUAAUAGUCCCUAGUGGACCUCCGGUGAAAACCAUAAUAAUAAUAAUAAUAAUAAUAAUAAUAAUAAUAAUAGUAAUAGUAAUAGUAAUAGGCAUUGUCAUGUUUAGCUUCCUUGAGGUAUAAAAUGAUAAGAAAUUGAAAGCUAUAUUUUUCUUUUUCUUUUUCUUUUUCUUUUUUUAUUUGAAUGGCAUUGGCGAGGCAUUAUUCGUCAGUCUUUACAAAUAAGAAAAACUCGCCUCACAACUGUUCAUAACUGCCCUUCUGGGCAGUCUGUCUCUUCACGGACACAGUCACAUAUAUUCAAGAAAACACACAGAAAAUUAAGCUGAAACUCGAUUUCCUUUUAAAUUAAAAGUAAACGAUUUUCUACUAUUGCU
rnacentral:sRNA from 1 species